rnacentral:snoRNA from 1 species
AAGACUAUACUUUCAGGGAUCAUUUCUAUAGUUUGUUACUAGGUUAAGCUUGGCCAUAUGACUUGCUUUCAUCAAUGAAAUAUGAACAAAAGUGACCUGUGCCACUUCUGAGUAGA